rnacentral:lncRNA from 1 species
UCCACUUAUAUUUUAAACAAUGCUCUUGGGUCAACCCAGUAUUAUCAAACAGCUAAUUCUGAAAGAGAAAUGGCAAGAACAACAUAUAACAAAAUUGCCUUUGAUCCAAAUAGAAGUAUAUUAAGAUUGAGGAGUACACCUUACUAUGAUUACACGCUGCUCCUUUUUUAUGAGGAGAAAGAAAUAUACAUGUAAGAUUGUGCAGUACACCUUACUCCUUUUUUAUAAGGGGAAAGAAAUAUAAAACGCGAAUCACUAAACUCAUAGCUAAUAUGACUAUGAUUACACGUUUCUCAGAAUUCCUAUGGGCAAUCGAAUGUUGUUGAUUGUCUAAUAACUUGAUCAAUGACUCAAAGUUAGAUGUUGUUGGCUCUAAUAUUGUGCAGUCUUGUAGAUGAAAGUGCCAUCUUCCCACCUACGCACAAGUAGAACACAAUUUUGUGAAUGACACUAUCACACAAUCUUCAAAAGCAAGAGCCCAAUAACUAUUCACACCAGUUAACAUCCCAUAGAUAAAGCAAGUAAUUUUAACAGCAAUUAUAUUCUUAAAUAAUAGACAUUGUGCACUAGAAUCUGCUUUCAUUUACAAGUAGGCCCGUCACACUAUUUUAAUAAACUAAAGGAUGGUUCAAGUUCAAUUGCAAGUAGGCCAACAAAUAUGAGGAAAGCUUACACAACAUUCCCAGAUCUAACAACAGUCACACCCACCAUAUGGCUAUAGCUGUUACUUGAGUGAUACUUUCUUGCUUGCUAAAUUGGGAUAUGAAUUUUGAUACUUAUUUUGAUAUCUUUAACUACUUCAUCAUAGAUAACCUCAUCGAGGGAGAGAGAGGGAGAGAGAGAGAGAGAGGAACACAAAAUGUAAAGAAGAACCAUGAGUAUAAAAAGUUGAGGAAGAAGUGACGAGAAAAGAAUAAGGAUGAAUAUGGAGAUGAUAGUCUUGACAUAUUCACAAGGAAUUGAACCAGCAAACUGCUACACACAUGUUGACACCCCUAACAGUUAGAACAAAUGACUGGCCCCCAAACAUGAGCGAAUAUGCUAGAGAAAAUAGUAACCCUCACAGAAGCAUGAACUGGCCCUACAUAAGUGCCUCUCAAGUUUCUACAUGAAAAUGACAGGCAUAAACUAUUGUUCCAUGUAGAUGCUACAAACUAUUCACAAUACCAUCUUUUCCCUGGUUCUAUAAUUCAUCCAAAAAUUAAUGAAAGCCCUAAGAAAAUGAUCAUAACCUAGAGUAGUUCCAUAAAAAAUGCCAUGUUCUGCUCAUUAAUGAAAAUUUCUGCAACCACUGCCAAUCCAUCCAUCAUAGUAGGGCUAAGAGCUUCAUGGGCAGACCAAUCCAAUGCUACCCAACUAACAAUACCCAGAAUUCUUACUCGCUAGGGACCAUCUAAUCCAAUGAGGGUAACUAAGCAAUGGCAAUGGAAAAUAAGGCAAAUCACCUACCCCAUUUUCUUCACUAAAACAAAAUCCAUUUAGCAUCUAGAAAUGGCAUAAACCAAUAACAUUGCAGUAUAAACCCACACCCUCAAACCCACUAAACAGUCCAUAUGAACCCCAUAUCCUCUGUUUCAAAGAAGUACAAAAUCAUAGAAGUCCCUAGAAGCAUUAGAACAAGAUAGAGAUUCUCAUAGUAGAAAUUUCUAGAGCUUUAAAUUUCAUAACUAGAAACAUAUAUGGAUUUUCAUGGAAGAAAUUUUUUGCACUAGAACUACAUCUUCCUUUAACACAAUAAUUUGCACACAAAAUGGAAAAAUAAUUGCAUGCUAUCAAGUUUACUGUGGAGAUAGAGAGAGAGAGAGAGAGAGAGAGAGAGAGAGAGAGAGAGAGAGAGAGAGAGAGAGAGAGAGAGAGAGAGAGAGAGAGAG